AUUGAACGCUGGCGGCAUGCUUUACACAUGCAAGUCGAACGGUAACAGGCCGCAAGGUGCUGACGAGUGGCGAACGGGUGAGUAAUGCAACGGAACGUGCCCAGUCGUGGGGGAUAACGCAGCGAAAGCUGCGCUAAUACCGCAUACGAUCUAUGGAUGAAAGCGGGGGACCGUAAGGCCUCGCGCGAUUGGAGCGGCCGAUGUCAGAUUAGGUAGUUGGUGGGGUAAAGGCUCACCAAGCCAACGAUCUGUAGCUGGUCUGAGAGGACGACCAGCCACACUGGGACUGAGAUACGGCCCAGACUCCUACGGGAGGCAGCAGUGGGGAAUUUUGGACAAUGGGCGCAAGCCUGAUCCAGCAAUGCCGCGUGCAGGAAGAAGGCCUUCGGGUUGUAAACUGCUUUUGUACGGAACGAAACGGUCCUGGUUAAUACCUGGGGCUAAUGACGGUACCGUAAGAAUAAGCACCGGCUAACUACGUGCCAGCCGCCGCCGUAAAAC
rnacentral:rRNA from 1 species